AGUGAACGCUGGCGGUAGGCCUAACACAUGCCAGUCGAACGGCAGCACAGUAAGUGCUUGCUCUUACGGGUGGCGAGAGGCGGACGGGUGAGGAAUACAUCGUAAUCUACUUUUUCGGGGGGGAUAACGUAGGGAAACUUACGAUAAUACCGCAUACGACCUUCGGGUGAAAGCAGGGGAUCUUCGCGGUUUGCGCGGUUCACUGAGCCGAUGCCGGUUUAGCUGGGUGGCGGGGUAACGGCCCACCAAGGGGACUAUCCGUAGCUGGACUGAGAGGAUGAUCAGCCACACUGGAACUGAGACACGGUCCAGACUCCUACGGGAGGCAGCAGUGGGGAAUAUUGGACAAUGGGCGCAAGCCUGAUCCAGCCAUACCGCGUGGGUGAAGAAGGCCUUCGGGUUGUAAAGCCCUUUUGUUGGGAAAGAAAAGCAGCAGGUUAAUACCCCGCUGUUCUGACGGUACCCAAAGAAUAAGCACCGGCUAACUUCGUG
rnacentral:rRNA from 1 species